AUUGAACGCUGGCGGCAGACUUAACACAUGCAAGUCGAGCGAGCGGCGGACGGGUGAGUAAUGUCUGGGAAACUGCCUGAUGGAGGGGGAUAACUACUGGAAACGGUAGCUAAUACCGCAUACCAUCAGAUGUGCCCAGAUGGGAUUAGCUAGUAGGUGGGGUAAUGGCUCGCCUAGGCGACGAUCCCUAGCUGGUUUGAGAGGAUGACCAUCCAAACGGGAACGGAGACACGGUCCAGACUCCUACGGGAGGCAGAAGUGGGGAAUUUUGCACAAGGGGCGCAAGCCUGAUGCAGCCAUGCCGCGUGUUUGAAGAAGGCCGUCGGGUUGUAAAGCACUUUCAGCGAGGAGGCGUUACUCGCAGAAGAAGCACCGGCUAACUCCGUGCCAGCAGCCGCGGUAAUUC
rnacentral:rRNA from 1 species